CUAACAAGGAUUCCCCUAGUAACUGCGAGUGAAGCGGGAAAAGCUCAAAUUUGGAAUCUGGUGGUCUUUGGCCAUCCGAGUUGUAAUUUAGAGAAGCGUCUUCCGCGCUGGACCGUGCACAAGUCUCCUGGAAUGGAGCGUCAUAGAGGGUGAGAAUCCCGUCUUUGGCACGGAAUCCCAGGGCUUCUGUGAUGCGCUCUCGACGAGUCGAGUUGUUUGGGAAUGCAGCUCAAAAUGGGUGGUGAACUCCAUCUAAAGCUAAAUAUUGGCGAGAGACCGAUAGCGAACAAGUACCGUGAGGGAAAGAUGAAAAGCACUUUGGAAAGAGAGUGAAACAGUACGUGAAAUUGUUGAAAGGGAAACGCUUGAAGUCAGUCGCGUCGACCGAGACUCAGCCUUGCCUCGGCUUGGUGUACUUCUCGGCUUGACGGGUCAGCAUCGAUUUCGAUCCUCGGAUAAUGGCAAGGGAAAGGUAGCACCUUUUUAGGUGUGUUAUAGUCCUCUGUCGCAUGCGAGGGUCGGGAUCGAGGAACUCAGCACGCACCUCAGGGUGUCGGGGCCUUGGCCCACGUUUACGUGCUUAGGAUGCUGGCGUAAUGGCUUUAAACGACCCGUCUUGAAACACGGACCAAGGAGUCUAACAUACCCGCGAGUGUUCGGGUGGAAAACCCGUGCGCGUAAUGAAAGUAAAAGUUGGGACCUCUGUCGCGGAGGGCACCGACGCCCGGACCAGACCUUCUGUGACGGCUCUGCGGUAGAGCGUGUAUGUUGGGACCCGAAAGAUGGUGAACUAUGCCUGAAUAGGGUGAAGCCAGAGGAAACUCUGGUGGAGGCUCGUAGCGAUUCUGACGUGCAAAUCGAUCGUCAAAUUUGGGUAUAGGGGCGAAAGACUAAUCGAACCAUCUAGUAGCUGGU
rnacentral:rRNA from 1 species